rnacentral:rRNA from 1 species
GUUUAGUCAUAAUCAGAUUGAACGCUGGCGGGAUGUAAGCGCUUUACGCAUGCAAGUCGAACAGCAGCACGGACUUCGGUCUGGUGGCGAGUGGCGAACGGGUGAGUAAUGUAUCCGGAACGUGCCUAGUAGCGGGGGAUAACACCGCGGCGUAGCUAAUACCGCAUACGCCCUUCCGGGGAAAGCAGGGGACCUUCGGGCCCUCCGCACUAUUAAACGGCCGAUAUCGGAUUAGCUAGUUGGUGGGGUAACGGCUCACCGAGGCGGUGAUCCGUAGCUGGUUUGAAGGACAGCCAUACCUGGGACAGACACGGCCCAGACUCCUACAGGAGAGGCAGCAGUGGGGAAUUUUGGACAAUGGGGAAACCUGAUCCAGCCAUCCGCGUGUUGAUGAAGGCCUUGGGUUAUAAAAAACACUUUUUGGCAGGAAAGAAACGGCACGGGAUAAUACCCCGUGCAACUGACGGUACCUGCAGAAUAAGCACCGGCUAACUACGUGCCAGCAGUCGCGGUAAUACGUAAGUGCAAGUUAAUCGGAAUUACUACCUGGGCGUAAAGCGGUAUGACAGUUCGGAAAGAAAGGUAAUCCCAGAGCUGCUUUGGAACUGCACAUUUUAACUACCGAGCUAGAGUGUGUCAGAGGGAGGUGGAAUUCCGCGUGUAGCAGUGAAAUGCGGCGGGUAUGCGGAGGAACACCGAUGGCGAAAACAGCCUCCUGGGAUAACACUGCAACCGCUCCUUUUAGCGAAAAGCGUGGGGGACAAACAGGAUUAGAUACCCUGGUAGUCCACGCCCUAAACGAUGUCAACCCAACUGUUGGGGCCUUCGGGCCUUGGUAGCUAGCUAACGCGUAGAAGUUGACCGCCUGGGAAGUACGGUCGCAAGAUUAAAACUCAAAGGAAUUGACGGGGACCCGCACAAGCGGUGGAUGAUGUGGAUUAAUUCGAUGCAACGCGAAAAACCUUACCUACCCUUGACAUGUCUGGAAUCCCGAAGAGAUUUGGGAGUGCUCGCAAGAGAACCGGAACACAGGUGCUGCAUAGCUGUCGUCAGCUCGUGUCGUGAGAUGUUGGGUUAAGUCCCGCAACGAGCGCAACCCUUGUCAUUGAAUUUCACACGAAAGGGCACUCAAUGAGACUGCCGGUGACAAACCGGAGGAAGGUGGGGAUGACGUCAAGUCCUCAUGGCCUUAUGGGUAGGGCUUCACACACGUCAUACAACUGGUCAGGACAGAGGGGUCGCCAGCCCGCGAGGGGAGCCAAUCCCAGAAAGCCCGAUCGUAGUCCGAGAUCCCCUACGCAGUCUGCAACUCGACUGAGAGUGAAGUCGGAAUCCUUAGUAAUCGCGGAUCAGCAUGUCGCGGUGAAUACGUUCCAGGUCUUGUACACACCGCCCGUCACACCAUGGGAGUGGGUUUUACCAGAAGUAGUUAGCCUAACCGUAAGGGCGAUUACCAUGACCCAGGAUUCAUGACUGGGAGUGAAGUCGUAACAAGGUAAC